UACGGAGGAUCCGAGCGUUAUCCGGAUUUAUUGGGUUUAAAGGGUGCGCAGGCGGGGGAUUAAGUCGGCGGUGAAAUUUUGCAGCUCAACUGUAAAAGUGCCUUCGAAACUGGUUUCCUUGAGUGUAGAUGAAGUAGGCGGAAUUUGUGGUGUAGCGGUGAAAUGCAUAGAUAUCACGAGGAACUCCGAUUGCGCAGGCAGCUUACUAAACUACUACUGACGCUCAGGCACGAAGGCGUGGGGAUCAAACAGGAUUGGAUACCCCGGUAGUCCCU
rnacentral:rRNA from 1 species